rnacentral:lncRNA from 1 species
UUACAGGUCACAGAAUCAAAAUUUUUAUUGAUCACAACUCAUUUAUUAAUUGCAAAUUAUUAGAUUAUUUGGUCACAAUUAAUUUUUUUGUCACAACUUAGUCAAUUAUGAGUCACAAUCCGAAAUUACAGUCGCAAUUUUCGAGUCACAUAUCCAAUUAUAUUAGUCACAAUCAACCAAAUAAUUGAUCACAAGCAUUCAAUCACAUCUCAUCCCACCACAGACACCACACAAACACCAAAUCCUUCAAGAUCCACCAAACAAACACACAACACGCUAGAUCCGCCCAUCUCCACCAUCAUCCCAGAUCCACGACCAACUCACCAGGAAAACACCGCCACAUCACAAUAAUAUGCCCCCACAUCUCAAAACCACCAGAUCCACCACAUGAACAUCAAAUCCGUCACAUCUCCACCACCAUCCCAGAGCCAUGACCACCUCACCAGGAAAAUAGCACCACAUCACAGUAAUAUAAAGCUCAUCCUCAAGCUCAUUCACUUGAUUUCUGGAAAAAUCUUGCAACUCUCAGUGGCACAGAACUUGACACCACGGCGCCGUGAUGAAAACAACCACCAAACUCAGGUCGUGAUGAAGAAAUAGUCGGAGCGGCGACGUGCAACAAAGAGCGAUAGAGUGACUCAGAGGUACGAGGAGAGAGACAAGGAAUGGCGAAGAAAAGAUGGGAGACGGUAGCGGUACAUGGUGAUGGUCUAUGCUGUGCAACGGGUUUGGAGGUGGUCGUCGACUGCGAAGGCUACGGUGACAUCCCAUGUGGAGGAAGAGGGAAGAGAGAGAAAGAGAGGAGGGAGGUGACGGUAUUAUGGAGAGAGUGAGAGAGAAUUAAUUAGGGUUUGAGAAGGUAAACAGUAGUGGGUGAAUAUAUAAUAUAAUUUAAUUUUUAUAAUAUUGUUAUAAAUAUUAACAAUAAUAUAUUAUCAUCUGAUUUUUGUAUAAAAAUACCAUAAAUCUGAUUUUUGAAGUUUAAUCUUAAAAGUUCUUAUUGGGUGUAAUUUCCACAUUAUACAAUUCUAAUUCCAUGUUUGAGAUGUUUGGAUAAGUUGAAAAACAAGUUGUGAUGGGGCUGAGUUCUAGGUCUGUGGUCAGUGUGGAUCAACUCGUGUUGAGGCU